UGCUAUACUUAUAAUGUACACGGUUGGAUUUCAGAUCUCGGUCAUGUGUGUGUUAUAUUAAUAUUGUACACGGUUGGAUUUUAUAUCGUUCUCAUGUAUGUGCUAUACUUAUAAUGUAAACGGUUGGAUUUCAGACCUUGGCCAUGUCUGUGUGUGUUACAAGAGAACUAUGCAUCAGGAUGCCUAUAUGUUUGUUCAGCAGAAAGGUCACGAAAGUCGCUAAACAUUGAUGCCUAUUUUCUACAACCGCCGAUGCUGUCCUUAGCCGCGGCCACCACUGCCACCAGCACCACCAGCGCCUAUACCUCCUCCGCCACCUCCGCCACCACCACCACCACUGCCAGCAGGACCAGGACCACCAGGACCGCCGCCGUUGACACCGCCGCAACCGCCACAACCGCCGCAACCACCACCUCUACCGUCGCCACCACCGCCGCCACCACCACCGCCACCACCGACCCAAUUUCCACCACCACCGCCGCCCACCGCCACCACCGUCGUGUAUACCACCGCCUCCACCGCCACCACCACCACCGGCACCAACAUUGGCACAAACCACCGCAUACGCCGCAAACAAUACUGCGGCCUGGAAUAAUUAUUCUAUUUAUUUCUUGCCCCAUUUCCGUUAAUUGUUAUUCGUAGGUAUAUGGAAUACCAAGUAAUGCUGAAUAUUAUUGUUAUCUUUACAGUUACACACACUUCACUACUUAAUUAUCUUUUAUAAAUUAAAUACUAUUUUAAAGAUCAGAAUACAUGGUUUAAAGAGUUUUCAUUACAUACCAUCAAAGCAAAUUUAACGGUUACACAUUAAUGAAAUACAUUAUGGAGUUCAUUUAAAGGUUGUGAAACAAUUAUUUACAAAAAUGUUAUUGAUCGGUGCAUUUAUAAUAAGGAAACCCUUACCAAAAUCGUGGAAAUAAAUAUAAAAAAGAACAUGUCAUUUACCUCCUCGACUUGAUGGGAAGGCGGCAGCCAUUUCCAGUAAGAGAAACCCUGUCACAAGGAUCGCAAGCUUCAUCUUGAUAUCUGUGAAGAUAAUGAAACUCAUGAUAUGAAAACACAAUGCACAGCGAAAAUUGACUAAUCCGCAGGUAAAGGAUAAAUGAUCAAAAUAGCUUAUGUUAAACUUUAAACAGUUAAAACAUUGAUAAACAUGACGAAUUAUUAUAUUUUUAAGUGGGGAAAAAUUACAACGCCUUGCAUUCCUGUGAAUAAGUCUACACUAAAAGAAAUGCUUUUCACAUGUCUAAACAAAAUGAAUUAGCUUAUUGAGUCGAUAGAAAAGACACAAAUACUAUAAACCAUGAUAAGAACAUAAUUUAUUUAAGGAUAUAUAUUUGAUAAAAAUUGUGAAAAAGACGAUAAUAUGCGGCUAUCUAUUUAAUAUUUUAUUUCAAUUAAAAUGAGCAUACCUCUGUAUCUAUCGCUUUGUUAUUAUUCAGUAGAACACUUUGUUAUUAUCCAGUAGAAUUAGAUUGGCGUUACGUUUUAUACUUCGCAGAUCGAGAGUUUAUCCUGUUGAUAUACACGUUAAUAUUCUCAACCCCUGAUAUUAAGUUGCACAAUAAGAAUAAACAGUACCAGCAACGCGUCAAGUCUUCUGGGAAAUGCCACAAAAUCCUUGUUUACCAAACGUCAACUCAUAUACAAAAUGCUCUUUCACACUCAUUACAACUUGUUGUUAAAAUUCAAGAAUAAACAAUACCAAGAUCACGUUAAGUCUUCUACGAAAAGCAACUGCGUCCGUGUUUAAACGUAACUCAAAAAAAAAUGCUUUACAAACGUGUUACACUAAGACAUGGUGUUUAAUUACUUCUAUGUAUAAACUGUCAGUCAUGUACGAACAUAUGAUUUGAAACAGGAUGUUUGGAGCGUUAUAAAUUAUUAUCUGUGGUUGUACGUUACUGUUCGCGCUGUCACUGAUUUAGAAUGUGUAUACAGUUCAGAUCAAUCAUUUAAACGGACCUUUUAAACGUAACGUAACUCUUCCGAAAAGUAUAAAACGGAACGUUAAUGUAUUGUUAUUUCAUUGAGGAGCAGUGACUGAUACACAGAUAUCAACAUGAAGCUUGCGAUCUUUGUGACAGUGUUUCUAUUACUGGCAAUGGCUGCCGCCUUACCCG